UACGAAGGGGGCUAGCGUUGCUCGGAAUCACUGGGCGUAAAGCGCACGUAGGCGGAUUGCUAAGUCAGGGGUGAAAUCCUGGAGCUCAACUCCAGAACUGCCUUUGAUACUGGCGAUCUUGAGUCCGAGAGAGGUGAGUGGAACUGCGAGUGUAGAGGUGAAAUUCGUAGAUAUUCGCAAGAACACCAGUGGCGAAGGCGGCUCACUGGCCCGGUACUGACGCUGAGGUGCGAAAGCGUGGGGAGCAAACAGG
rnacentral:rRNA from 1 species